AUCUUCACAAAAACGUCAAAGUUCAUAAAUCACUAUCAUCCAAAAGUAGUCUACUGUAUGCGGUCUGAAACAGGUUUGAUUGAUAGACUGAUUGAUUCAUUCAUCCUCUUUCAGGAGCGUCUGUAUCAUGUAAUUACAACACAAAAAAGAAUGUCAGCAAUUAAGUCGUGAUUGUGGACAUUUUUGUAAUGUUUAGGGGGUUUCUCCACCGGAAGCACUUAUCAUGUGUCGGUGAAAACAAACACGUGGGUUGAUUAGUGAAUAAGUACCCGGCAUGCGGUUAUCAGGCAUUUUCACGUGCCAGUGCGCCAAGAAAGGACCUCGGACGUAGUAGAAAUGGAUCAAUAAAGCGGUUAAAAUUACGUUAUUAGGAUGCUUAUAGUGGGUUUACGUUAAGUUUUCAUUAGUUUAUCUCGAAAUGUGCAUUUUAACAACAGCCGCUUGUCGUAAUGAUAAAAUGCGGGACCAAGUCGUUGAACACUCGGCAUCGAGGGGGUAGCCACGAGGACGACCGAUUUAAAAGCAACUGUAGGUAGCUUUUCCCCAGCUACCGGACACUGUAAUUAAAAACUUAAUCGUAAAACAAUCGGCGGGAUAUCUUCUGAGAGAAACGGAUGUUUAAGGUGAAGUGUGGUGGAACCCAGACAGCACCCGUCAGGUCUAGUGCAGAGGAAGGCGCUUAGCAUCAGCAGUGCCUACUUUCUCUGACCCAAUACUCAUAGGUCGAGGGCUGUGGAAUGCGGUCACCACCCUCCAGAUGAAGCGUGGUGGAACGCAGACAGCACCCGUCAGGUAAAUACCAUGGUUGUCUUCUCUGGAGGGUAAAGAAAGGUAGUUCAUCUGUUUAUUUACAUGGUUGUUAGUUUUGUAAAUGUGAUGUGAGAUGGUUUUUUUUUUAAAAUCUGUAUUGGCCAUGAUAUUGCCAUAGCUGCUGAAUGGCAAUAAAUGUAAUCGAUCAAUUAAUGUCUGGAGGGUAUUUGCAGAUGCUGUGAAGAUUUGAAACCUGAGAAAAUAAAGUUUGUGAACUUGACCUGU